GACAUUGUCCCGACUUUUCUGUCCUGUCUCACUGAGACAUUGUCCCGACUUUUCUGUCCUGUCUCACUGAGACAUUGUCCCGACUUUUCUGUCCAAUCUCACUGAGACGUUGUCCCCACUUUCCUGUCCAAUCUCAGAGACAUUGUCCCGACUUUUCUGUCCUGUCUCACUGAGACAUUGUCCCGACUUUUCUGUCCUGUCUCACUGAGACGUUUUCCCGACUUUCCUGUCCAAUCUCAGAGAAAUUGUCCCGACUUUCCUGUCCAAUCUCAGAGACAUUGUCCCGACUCACAGAAACAUCAGAUCAGAGUCAUUAUUUCUACAGUCAGGUUUUCGUCCAAACCCAAACAUUAAUUCUGUUUUCUGUGACAGCUUGAAGACGUGGAUUUAUUAUUCUGUGAUCGUGCUUUGAUGGAAUUAGAUGAAGAACACGAGGUUUGUUCUUUUGAAUCCUUUCAUGUGCAAACAACAUCAAAUAAAAGUGAACUUUCAGCAGUUUUCACAGUUUGGAGCUAAUGUGGCUGAUGUUCUGGUGCAGGAGCUACAGAAGAGGAGCUGAAAUGAGAGAAAUAAAGUGCAGUCUCAGGAAAA